AGUGAACGCUGGCGGCAGGCCUAACACAUGCAAGUCGAACGGCAGCACAGUAAGAGCUUGCUCUUACGGGUGGCGAGUGGCGGACGGGUGAGGAAUACAUCGGAAUCUACUUUUUCGUGGGGGAUAACGUAGGGAAACUUACGCUAAUACCGCAUACGACCUACGGGUGAAAGCAGGGGAUCUUCGGACCUUGCGUGAUUGAAUGAGCCGAUGUCGGAUUAGCUAGUUGGCGGGGUAAAGGCCCACCAAGGCGACGAUCCGUAGCUGGUCUGAGAGGAUGAUCAGCCACACUGGAACUGAGACACGGUCCAGACUCCUACGGGAGGCAGCAGUGGGGAAUAUUGGACAAUGGGCGCAAGCCUGAUCCAGCCAUACCGCGUGGGUGAAGAAGGCCUUCGGGUUGUAAAGCCCUUUUGUUGGGAAAGAAAAGCAGCAGGUUAAUACCCCGCUGUUCUGACGGUACCCAAAGAAUAAGCACCGGCUAACUUCGUG
rnacentral:rRNA from 1 species